ensembl:rRNA 5S_rRNA 5S ribosomal RNA
CCUUACGGCCAUACCACCAUAGGUACGCCCGAUCUCGUCUGAUCUCGGAAGCUAAGCAGGGUCGGGCCUGGUUAGUACUUGGAUGGGUGACCGCCUGGGAAUACCAGGUGCUGUAAGCA